rnacentral:rRNA from 1 species
GAUGAACGCUGGCGGCGUGCCUAAUACAUGCAAGUCGAGCGAACAGACGAGGAGCUUGCUCCUCUGACGUUAGCGGCGGACGGGUGAGUAACACGUGGAUAACCUACCUAUAAGACUGGGAUAACUUCGGGAAACCGGAGCUAAUACCGGAUAAUAUAUUGAACCGCAUGGUUCAAUAGUGAAAGACGGUUUUGCUGUCACUUAUAGAUGGAUCCGCGCCGCAUUAGCUAGUUGGUAAGGUAACGGCUUACCAAGGCAACGAUGCGUAGCCGACCUGAGAGGGUGAUAGGCCACACUGGAACGGAGACACGGUCCAGACUCCUAAGGGAGGCAGCAGUAGGGAAUCUUCCGCAAUGGGCGAAAGCCUGACGGAGCAACGCCGCGUGAGUGAUGAAGGUCUUCGGAUCGUAAAACUCUGUUAUUAGGGAAGAACAAAUGUGUAAGUAACUAUGCACGUCUUGACGGUACCUAAUCAGAAAGCCACGGCUAACUACGUG